rnacentral:rRNA from 1 species
GGUUAAGCGACUAAGCGUACACGGUGGAUGCCCUGGCAGUCAGAGGCGAUGAAGGACGUGCUAAUCUGCGAUAAGCGUCGGUAAGGUGAUAUGAACCGUUAUAACCGGCGAUUUCCGAAUGGGGAAACCCAGUGUGUUUCGACACACUAUCAUUAACUGAAUCCAUAGGUUAAUGAGGCGAACCGGGGGAACUGAAACAUCUAAGUACCCCGAGGAAAAGAAAUCAACCGAGAUUCCCCCAGUAGCGGCGAGCGAACGGGGAGCAGCCCAGAGCCUGAAUCAGUGUGUGUGUUAGUGGAAGCGUCUGGAAAGGCGCGCGAUACAGGGUGACAGCCCCGUACACAAAAAUGCACAUGCUGUGAGCUCGAUGAGUAGGGCGGGACACGUGGUAUCCUGUCUGAAUAUGGGGGGACCAUCCUCCAAGGCUAAAUACUCCUGACUGACCGAUAGUGAACCAGUACCGUGAGGGAAAGGCGAAAAGAACCCCGGCGAGGGGAGUGAAAAAGAACCUGAAACCGUGUACGUACAAGCAGUGGGAGCACGCUUCGGCGUGUGACUGCGUACCUUUUGUAUAAUGGGUCAGCGACUUAUAUUCUGUAGCAAGGUUAACCGAAUAGGGGAGCCGAAGGGAAACCGAGUCUUAACUGGGCGUUAAGUUGCAGGGUAUAGACCCGAAACCCGGUGAUCUAGCCAUGGGCAGGUUGAAGGUUGGGUAACACUAACUGGAGGACCGAACCGACUAAUGUUGAAAAAUUAGCGGAUGACUUGUGGCUGGGGGUGAAAGGCCAAUCAAACCGGGAGAUAGCUGGUUCUCCCCGAAAGCUAUUUAGGUAGCGCCUCGUGAAUUCAUCUCCGGGGGUAGAGCACUGUUUCGGCAAGGGGGUCAUCCCGACUUACCAACCCGAUGCAAACUGCGAAUACCGGAGAAUGUUAUCACGGGAGACACACGGCGGGUGCUAACGUCCGUCGUGAAGAGGGAAACAACCCAGACCGCCAGCUAAGGUCCCAAAGUCAUGGUUAAGUGGGAAACGAUGUGGGAAGGCCCAGACAGCCAGGAUGUUGGCUUAGAAGCAGCCAUCAUUUAAAGAAAGCGUAAUAGCUCACUGGUCGAGUCGGCCUGCGCGGAAGAUGUAACGGGGCUAAACCAUGCACCGAAGCUGCGGCAGCGACGCUGAUGCGUUGUUGGGUAGGGGAGCGUUCUGUAAGCCUGCGAAGGUGUGCUGUGAGGCAUGCUGGAGGUAUCAGAAGUGCGAAUGCUGACAUAAGUAACGAUAAAGCGGGUGAAAAGCCCGCUCGCCGGAAGACCAAGGGUUCCUGUCCAACGUUAAUCGGGGCAGGGUGAGUCGACCCCUAAGGCGAGGCCGAAAGGCGUAGUCGAUGGGAAACAGGUUAAUAUUCCUGUACUUGGUGUUACUGCGAAGGGGGGACGGAGAAGGCUAUGUUGGCCGGGCGACGGUUGUCCCGGUUUAAGCGUGUAGGCUGGUUUUCCAGGCAAAUCCGGAAAAUCAAGGCUGAGGCGUGAUGACGAGGCACUACGGUGCUGAAGCAACAAAUGCCCUGCUUCCAGGAAAAGCCUCUAAGCAUCAGGUAACAUCAAAUCGUACCCCAAACCGACACAGGUGGUCAGGUAGAGAAUACCAAGGCGCUUGAGAGAACUCGGGUGAAGGAACUAGGCAAAAUGGUGCCGUAACUUCGGGAGAAGGCACGCUGAUAUGUAGGUGAAGUCCCUCGCGGAUGGAGCUGAAAUCAGUCGAAGAUACCAGCUGGCUGCAACUGUUUAUUAAAAACACAGCACUGUGCAAACACGAAAGUGGACGUAUACGGUGUGACGCCUGCCCGGUGCCGGAAGGUUAAUUGAUGGGGUCAGCGCAAGCGAAGCUCUUGAUCGAAGCCCCGGUAAACGGCGGCCGUAACUAUAACGGUCCUAAGGUAGCGAAAUUCCUUGUCGGGUAAGUUCCGACCUGCACGAAUGGCGUAAUGAUGGCCAGGCUGUCUCCACCCGAGACUCAGUGAAAUUGAACUCGCUGUGAAGAUGCAGUGUACCCGCGGCAAGACGGAAAGACCCCGUGAACCUUUACUAUAGCUUGACACUGAACAUUGAGCCUUGAUGUGUAGGAUAGGUGGGAGGCUUUGAAGUGUGGACGCCAGUCUGCAUGGAGCCGACCUUGAAAUACCACCCUUUAAUGUUUGAUGUUCUAACGUUGACCCCUAAUCGGGGUUGCGGACAGUGUCUGGUGGGUAGUUUGACUGGGGCGGUCUCCUCCUAAAGAGUAACGGAGGAGCACGAAGGUUGGCUAAUCCUGGUCGGACAUCAGGAGGUUAGUGCAAUGGCAUAAGCCAGCUUGACUGCGAGCGUGACGGCGCGAGCAGGUGCGAAAGCAGGUCAUAGUGAUCCGGUGGUUCUGAAUGGAAGGGCCAUCGCUCAACGGAUAAAAGGUACUCCGGGGAUAACAGGCUGAUACCGCCCAAGAGUUCAUAUCGACGGCGGUGUUUGGCACCUCGAUGUCGGCUCAUCACAUCCUGGGGCUGAAGUAGGUCCCAAGGGUAUGGCUGUUCGCCAUUUAAAGUGGUACGCGAGCUGGGUUUAGAACGUCGUGAGACAGUUCGGUCCCUAUCUGCCGUGGGCGCUGGAGAACUGAGGGGGGCUGCUCCUAGUACGAGAGGACCGGAGUGGACGCAUCACUGGUGUUCGGGUUGUCAUGCCAAUGGCACUGCCCGGUAGCUAAAUGCGGAAGAGAUAAGUGCUGAAAGCAUCUAAGCACGAAACUUGCCCCGAGAUGAGUUCUCCCUGACUCCUUGAGAGUCCUGAAGGAACGUUGAAGACGACGACGUUGAUAGGCCGGGUGUGUAAGCGCAGCGAUGCGUUGAGCUAACCGGUACUAAUGAACCGUGAGGCUUAACCUU